rnacentral:misc_RNA from 1 species
UCCGGUUUGUCACCGGCAGUCACCUUAGAGUGCCCAACUUAAUGAUGGCAACUAAGGCCGAGGGUUGCGCUCGUUGCGGGACUUAACCCAACAUCUCGCGACACGAGCUGACGACAGCCAUGCAGCACCUGUGUUCCUCCCACCCGAAGUGAAGGACUCCAUCUCUGGAGUCCAUAGAGGACAUGUCAAGGGCUGGUAAGGUUCUUCGCGUUGCUUCGAAUUGAACCACAUGCUCCACCGCUUGUGCGGGCCCCCGUCAAUUCCUUUGAGUUUUAAUCUUGCGACCGUACUCCCCAGGCGGGGUGCUUAAAGCGUUAGCUGCGCCACCGAUGAGCAAGCUCACCGACGGCUAGCACCCAUAGUUUACGGCGUGGACUAC